rnacentral:lncRNA from 1 species
ACCGCGUGAAAGUGAGACUCAGCCAACGCCAAGGAACGGCUGUGUGUCAGAUGCGAAAACAUGUUUAUGGGUAUGGGACAUUUAAUAGCCUUGGCGGUCUCAGUGGGAUACCUUGACGAAGGUACCCGCGAGAAUGAUUUUGGCAGGAGCCAAGUUUUGUGAGAUAUAUAAGCCAUGUUGAUUAAUUGACUAAACUGAAUAUUCAUGUUAUGAAACAUAUAUUGGAAAUGAAUAUUUUAAUUCGUCUCCAUUUACUCGCCUUUAGAUAGUUUAGAUGGUGUCUGUUUACUCACUGGGAUUUUAUAAUCUCACCACCCUCCUUUCCUCACAUUUCAAGCUCAGGGAAUUUCAUAGUUAGCUGACUUUGACAAGGACCUUCAUUUGGACUUGAAUCGGCAAAAGCUGUAGGUUUUCAGCUUUCGAUGCAUUUUGGUUAGUUGGG